GAGCAUCCAGAAGUUUUAUGUGACGACAGCGCGACAGAAAAGCUGACUCGUUAUGCCGAGGAGGUUAGGAGGAAAGCAGGAGACGAUGAUCUAGAUUGGAGGGAGGCACCUUUCGAUCCGGAUGCAGCAUAUGUUGCUGGUGGUGGGCUACCACAUGGGAGGUUGGGGAUCGGUGAUGGGGUUGUGAGUCGCGAUAGCUUUGGUCGUCGGUCAGUUUCCUCGGUGGGGAGUAGAUCUCGAACUUCAACUUCGAGGGAAUCAGAGCUUGAUGAGCAACUAAGACAACAACAACAACAAGUUCAACAACUAUCUCAACAAGUUCAGAUGAUGCAGGGAAUACUG